rnacentral:rRNA from 1 species
CGAUCAGUAGGGGUUCUGAGAGGAAGGUCCCCCACAUUGGAACUGAGACACGGUCCAAACUCCUACGGGAGGCAGCAGUGAGGAAUAUUGGUCAAUGGGCGAGAGCCUGAACCAGCCAAGUAGCGUGCAGGAAGACGGCCCUAUGGGUUGUAAACCGCUUUUAUAAGGGAAUAAAGUGAGUCUCGUGAGACUUUUUGCAUGUACCUUAUGAAUAAGGACCGGCUAAUUCCGUGCCAGCAGCCGCGGUAAUACGGAAGGUCCGGGCGUUAUCCGGAUUUAUUGGGUUUAAAGGGAGCGUAGGCCGGAGAUUAAGCGUGUUGUGAAAUGUAGACGCUCAACGUCUGCACUGCAGCGCGAACUGGUUUCCUUGAGUACGCACAAAGUGGGCGGAAUUCGUGGUGUAGCGGUGAAAUGCUUAGAUAUCACGAAGAACUCCGAUUGCGAAGGCAGCUCACUGGAGCGCAACUGACGCUGAAGCUCGAAAGUGCGGGUAUCGAACAGGAUUAGAUACCCUGGUAGUCCGCACGGUAAACGAUGGAUGCCCGCUGUUGGUCUGAACAGGUCAGCGGCCAAGCGAAAGCAUUAAGCAUCCCACCUGGGGAGUACGCCGGCAACGGUGAAACUCAAAGGAAUUGACGGGGGCCCGCACAAGCGGAGGAACGUGUGGUUUAAUUCGAUGAUACGCGAGGAACCUUACCCGGGCUUGAAUUGCAGAGGAAGGAUUUGGAGACAAUGACGCCCUUCGGGGUCUCUGUGAAGGUGCUGCAUGGUUGUCGUCAGCUCGUGCCGUGAGGUGUCGGCUUAAGUGCCAUAACGAGCGCAACCCCUCUCCUUAGUUGCCAUCAGGUUAAGCUGGGCACUCUGGGGACACUGCCACCGUAAGGUGUGAGGAAGGUGGGGAUGACGUCAAAUCAGCACGGCCCUUACGUCCGGGGCUACACACGUGUUACAAUGGCAGGUACAGAGAGACGGUUGUACGUAAGUACGAUCAAAUCCUUAAAGCCUGUCUCAGUUCGGACUGGGGUCUGCAACCCGACCCCACGAAGCUGGAUUCGCUAGUAAUCGCGCAUCAGCCAUGGCGCGGUGAAUACGUUCCCGGACCUUGUACACACCGCCCGUCAAGCCAUGAAAGCCGGGGGCGCCUAAAGUCCGUGACCGUAAGGAGCGGCCUAGGGCGAAACUGGUAAUUGGGGCUAAGUCGUAACAAGGUA